CUAGUCGUGGAGGGUUGAAAGACGGAUUUAUUGAGCCGGUAGUUCCGGAUGGAAGGGCCAUCGCGCAACGGAUAAAAGCUACCCCGGGGAUAACAGGCUUAUCUCCCCCAAGAGUUCACAUCGACGGGGAGGUUUGGCACCGCGAUGUCGGCUCAUCGCAUCCUGGGGCUGUAGUCGGUCCCAAGGGUUGGGCUGUUCGCCCAUUAAAGCGGUACGCGAGCUGGGUUCAGAACGUCGUGAGACAGUUCGGUCCCUAUCGGUCGUGGGCGUAGGAAAUUUGAGAGGAGCUGUCCUUAGUACGAGAGGACCGGGAUGGACAUACCUCUGGUGUACCAGUUGUCGUGCCAACGGCAUAGCUGGGUAGCUAUGUAUGGACG
rnacentral:rRNA from 1 species